rnacentral:rRNA from 1 species
AUUGAACGCUGGCGGCAGGCCUAACACAUGCAAGUCGAGCGGAUGAAGGGAGCUUGCUCCUGGAUUCAGCGGCGGACGGGUGAGUAAUGCCUAGGAAUCUGCCUGGUAGUGGGGGAUAACGUCCGGAAGCGGGCGCUAAUACCGCAUACGUCCUGAUGGAGAAAGUGGGGGAUCUUCGGACCUCACGCUAUCAGAUGAGCCUAGGUCGGAUUAGCUAGUUGGUGGGGUAAAGGCCUACCAAGGCGACGAUCCGUAACUGGUCUGAGAGGAUGAUCAGUCACACUGGAACUGAGACACGGUCCAGACUCCUACGGGAGGCAGCAGUGGGGAAUAUUGGACAAUGGGCGAAAGCCUGAUCCAGCCAUGCCGCGUGUGUGAAGAAGGUCUUCGGAUUGUAAAGCACUUUAAGUUGGGAGGAAGGGCAGUAAGUUAAUACCUUGCUGUUUUGACGUUACCAACAGAAUAAGCACCGGCUAACUUCGUG